UACGGGGGGAGCAAGCGUUGUUCGGAUUUACUGGGCGUAAAGGGCGCGUAGGCGGCCACCGCAAGUCGACUGUGAAAUCUCCGGGCUUAACCCGGAAAGGUCAGCCGAUACUGCGGGGCUAGAGUGCAGAAGGGGCAACUGGAAUUCUCGGUGUAGCGGUGAAAUGCGUAGAUAUCGAGAGGAACACCUGCGGCGAAGGCGGGUUGCUGGGCUGACACGUGACGCUGGAUGCGCGAAAGCUAGGGGAGCGAACGGGG
rnacentral:rRNA from 1 species